UAAGCGAGCUUUGUUGGGCGAGGCAUUUUCCCAUUAUCUCCAAACUCGGCUAAGGUGAGGGUCUAUUCUGUAAAUCCCGUACCAGUGUAGAAUUCUCUCUAUCGUAGUUUAGAUUUCGAAUCAUGAUCCGUCUGUUUGAAUUGAGUCUUGAUUGUUAGUUAGUUCAUUCACUGUAAACUGGAACUAGGAGUCUAGAGGAUUCAACCGUUGAUUGAUUGCGUGAUGUUAAGAGAUGCGAUAUAUAUAUGUAUGUACACAUAGCUAUGAGUAGGGACUAUGUGAGUGGGCGGAGGCUCAGAGAUGUCUGGGCUAGCGACGCUACUUUGAUUGUGCGGGCAGGGGUUCAGAGACGUUUGGACUUGCGAUGCUAAUUGUGCGGGCGUGUGGUGCAGAGACGUUUGUACCAUUGACGCUACUUGAGAGGGCGGGGGUACAGAGACAGACUGUACUAGCAACGCUACGUAUUAUAUAUCCAUAUGAGGAGAUGCGGGGUGUAUGGACUAGCUAUAUGCUAUCAUCGCAUUGUUUGUGUUGUGUUUGUGUGAUGCUUUAGGCGUCUUGUUUGUUCAUGUUAGAGCUAAACUUCCAUAGUGCGAGUUCUAUUACUCAAGUUAGUGGUUUGCGUGUUUAGCAUCCCAUACUUCACAACCUAAGCGAGCUUUGUUGGGCGAGGCAUUUUCCCAUUAUCUCCAAACUCGGCUAAGGUGAGGGUCUAUUCUGUAAAUCCCGUACCAGUGUAGAAUUCUCUCUAUCGUAGUUUAGAUUUCGAAUCAUGAUCCGUCUGUUUGAAUUGAGUCUUGAUUGUUAGUUAGUUCAUUCACUGUAAACUGGAACUAGGAGUCUAGAGGAUUCAACCGUUGAUUGAUUGCGUGAUGUUAAGAGAUGCGAUAUAUAUAUGUAUGUACACAUAGCUAUGAGUAGGGACUAUGUGAGUGGGCGGAGGCUCAGAGAUGUCUGGGCUAGCGACGCUACUUUGAUUGUGCGGGCAGGGGUUCAGAGACGUUUGGACUUGCGAUGCUAAUUGUGCGGGCGUGUGGUGCAGAGACGUUUGUACCAUUGACGCUACUUGAGAGGGCGGGGGUACAGAGACAGACUGUACUAGCAACGCUACGUAUUAUAUAUCCAUAUGAGGAGAUGCGGGGUGUAUGGACUAGCUAUAUGCUAUCAUCGCAUUGUUUGUGUUGUGUUUGUGUGAUGCUUUAGGCGUCUUGUUUGUUCAUGUUAGAGCUAAACUUCCAUAGUGCGAGUUCUAUUACUCAAGUUAGUGGUUUGCGUGUUUAGCAUCCCAUACUUCACGGAGUAACUCCCCUGUUGCUCACCCCUCCUAUUCCUUCCCCUUUCAGAUGAGACUGACGAGCAGGAGUGAUUGCUAUCGGGCUGGUGCUUUGGGAGUUCUA
rnacentral:lncRNA from 1 species